UACCUACGGGAGGCAGCAGUGGGGAAUAUUGCACAAUGGGGGGAACCCUGAUGCAGCGACGCCGCGUGAGUGAAGAAGUAUUUCGGUAUGUAAAGCUCUAUCAGCAGGGAAGAAAAUGACGGUACCUGACUAAGAAGCCCCGGCUAACUACGUGCCAGCAGCCGCGGUAAUACGUAGGGGGCAAGCGUUAUCCGGAUUUACUGGGUGUAAAGGGCGUGCAGCCGGGACUGCAAGUCAGAUGUGAAAUCCGCGGGCUUAACCCGCGAACUGCAUUUGAAACUGCGGAUCUUGAGUACCGGAGAGGU
rnacentral:rRNA from 1 species